UGGGGAAUAUUGCACAAUGGGCGCAAGCCUGAUGCAGCGACGCCGCGUGCGGGAUGGAGGCCUUCGGGUUGUAACCGCUUUGUUCAAGGGCAAGGCACGGUCUUUGGCCGUGUUGAGUGGAUUGUUCGAAUAAGCACCCGGCUAACUACGUGCC
rnacentral:rRNA from 1 species